GAUGAAGAACGCAGCGAAAUGCGAUAAGUAGUGUGAAUUGCAGAAUUCAGUGAAUCAUCGAAUCUUUGAACGCACAUUGCGCCCUUUGGUAUUCCAAAGGGCAUGCCUGUUCGAGCGUCAUUUGUACCCUCAAGCUUUGCUUGGUGUUGGGCGUCUUGUCUCUAGCUUUGCUGGAGACUCGCCUUAAAGUAAUUGGCAGCCGGCCUACUGGUUUCGGAGCGCAGCACAAGUCGCACUCUCUAUCAGCAAAGGUCUAGCAUCCAUUAAGCCUUUUUUUCAACUUUUGACCUCGGAUCAGGUAGGGAUACCCGCUGAACUUAAGAAUAUCAAUAAGCGGAGGA
rnacentral:misc_RNA from 1 species